UACGUAGGGUGCAAGCGUUGUCCGGAAUUAUUGGGCGUAAAGGGCUCGUAGGCGGUCUGUCACGUCGGGGGGUGAAAACUCAGGGCUUAACCCUGAGCCUGCUUCCGAUACGGGCAGACUAGAGGUAUGCAGGGGAGAACGAAUUCCUGGUGUAGCGGUGAAAUGCGCAGAUAUCUGGAGGAACACCGGUGGACGAAGGCGGCAUCCUGGACCGGCAUUGACGCUGAGGCGCGAAAGCCAGGGGAGCCAAAGCGGGAUUAAGAUGACCUUGUAGU
rnacentral:rRNA from 1 species